rnacentral:rRNA from 1 species
AUUGAACGCUGGCGGCAGGCCUAACACAUGCACGUCGAGCGAGCGGCGGACGGGUGAGUACUGUAUGGGGACUGCCCGAUAGAGGGGGAUAACUACUGGAAACGGUAGCUCAUACCCAAUACUAUCGGAUCACCCAUAUGGGCUUAGCUAGUAGGUGAGGUAAUGGCUCACCGAGGCGACGAUCCCUCGCUGGUCUGAGAGGAUGAUCAGCCACACGGGGACUGAGACACGGCCCAGACUCCUACGGAGGCAGUAGGGGUGAAUAUUGCACAAUGGGCGCAAGCCGGAUGCAGCCAUGCCGCGUGUAUGAAGAAGGCCCUAGGGUUGUAAAGUACUUUCAGUCGGGAGGCGUUACCGACAGAAGAAGCACCGGCUAACUCCGUGCCAGCAGCCGCGGUAAUUC